UACGGGGGGGCAAGCGUUGUUCGGAAUUACUGGGCGUAAAGGGCCAGUAGGCGGCCAACUAAGUCGGAUGUGAAAUCCCCAGGCUCAACUUGGGAACUGCAUCCGAUACUGGAUGGCUUGAAUUCGGGAGAGGGAUGCAGAAUUCCAGGUGUAGCGGUGAAAUGCGUAGAUAUCUGGAGGAACACCGGUGGCGAAGGCGGGUCUCUGGGCCGAUACUGACGCUGAGGAGCGAAGGCCAGGGGAGCAAACGGG
rnacentral:rRNA from 1 species